CGCGUGACAUUAGCCAGAUGGUGAGGUAACGGCUCACCAUAGCAAUGAUGUCUAGGGGUUUUGAGAGGAAGGCCCCCCACACUGGGACUGAGACACGGCCCACACUCCUACGGGAGGCAGCAGUGGGGGAAUAUUGCGCAAUGGGGGAAACCCUGACGCAGCGACGCCGCGUGAGCGAAGAAGGCCUUAGGGUCGUAAAGCUCUGUUUUAAGGGACGAAUAUCUUCAGUAGUAACUGACUGAGGAAUGACGGUACCUUAAGAGAAAGCCCCGGCUAACUACGUGCCAGCAGCCGCGGUAAGACGUAGGGGGCGAGCGUUGUCCGGAAUUACUGGGCGUAAAGAGCACGUAGGCGGGAUUUUAAGUCAGGUGUGAAAGACCGUGGCUCAACCACGGGGUUGCACAUGAAACUGGAAUUCUUGAGGGCAGGAGAGGAAAGUGGAAUUCCUGGUGUAGCGGUGAAAUGCGUAGAAAUCAGGAGGUACUCCGGUGGCGAAGGGGCCUUUCUGGACUGACCCUGCCGCUGAUUUACGAAAGCGUGGGGGGCAAACAGGAAUAGAUACCCUGGUAGUCCACGCCGUAAACGAUGAGUGCUAAGUAUCGGUAGAUUCGGUGCUUAAGCUAACGCAGUAAGCACUCCGCCUGGGGGAGUACGGUCGCAAGACUGAAACUCAAAGGAAUUGACGGGGACUCGCACAAGCGGUGGAGCAUGCGGUUUAAUUCGAUGCAACGCGAAGAACCUUACCAGGUCUUGACAGUGUAAAGAAUACUUAAGAGAUUAAGGGCUAAGAAUUAAGCUUGCUUAUUUCACUUUAUAAACAGGUGGUGCAUGGUUGUCGUCAGCUCGUGUCGUGAGAUGUUGGGUUAAGUCCCGCAACGAGCGCAACCCUUAUUGCUAGUUGCCAUCAUUAAGUUGGGCACUCUAGCAAGACUGCCGGUGACAAAUCGGAUGAAGGUGGGGAUGACGUCAAAUCAUCAUGCCCCUUAUGACCUGGGCUACACGCGUGCUACAAUGGCUAAUACAAAGAGUUGCAAAACCGUGAGGUAGAGCUAAUCUCAUAAAGUUAGUCUCAGUUCGGAUUGUAGUCUGCAACUCGACUACAUGAAGUUGGAAUCGCUAGUAAUCGUAAAUCAGAAUGUUACGGUGAAUACGUUCUCGAGUCUUGUACUCACCGCCCGUCA
rnacentral:rRNA from 1 species